rnacentral:lncRNA from 1 species
CUUUAGCAAUGACAGCUUCUCCGUACACUUUAGGACCAUGGCUUUCCACCUACAAGUCCCCACAAGCACUUUUUAAAAAAUGAAAUUAAAGAAAAUAUCAGAGUGCAUCCAACAGAGAACAAGUCGGUCAGGAAGCCGCGCAGCAGCCUUGGCUUUUAAGGAUACCGGAAAACACCCGUGGAGCCGGAGGUGGCCAUUCACCAAAUUCGAAUCACCCUAACAAGCCGCAAUGUAAAAUCCCUGGAAAAGGUGUGUGAUGACUUAAUCAGAGGCGCAAAGGAAAAGAAUCUCAAAGUGAAAGGACCAGUUCGAAUGCCUGCCAAGACUUUGAGAAUCACUACAAGAAAAACUACUUGUGGUGAAGAUUCUAAGACCUGGGAUCAUUUCCAGAUGAGAAUUCACAAGCGACUCAUUGACUUGCACAGUCCUUCUGAGAUUGUUAAGCAGAUUACUUCCAUCAGUAUUGAGCCAGGAGUUGAGGUGGAAGUUACCAUUGCAGAUGCUUAAGUCAACUAUUUUAAUAAAUUGAUUACCAGUUGUUAAAAAAAAAACAAUUCUGUGCCUGAUGACAUUGCAGAAAUUAGUUCCAUAAAGAUUUGAAAGAUGCAGGGCUACUGAUUUCCAUAACACCAUUAUUACCUCACCUAUUUGGUCAGUGCAAGAGGCAAAUGUUGGUGGAGAAUGAAGGUGGAUUAACACAAACAUAUUCAUGGGUUUGCUUAUCCCGCCCACAGCAC